rnacentral:lncRNA from 1 species
UUUCCUGCUGCUUUGUGAAGAAGGUGCUUGUUUCUUCUUUGCCUUCUGCCACGAUUGCCAUGUGAAUCGCACCCCUGGAACUGUGCAGGGCCCACCUGUGUGGCCACACGCAGUGACCCUGAGCAAAGGAGUGACCACAGAAGUGCAUGGCAAAGCAGAAAGGUGUGACGUCUUGGAGGACGCGGGAGGAAAGCACGCCCAGCGGACAGGAGCCAUCACGCGGCUGCGGGCUGCUGCUGAGAACCUGGCGUGGGCCACCAUCGUCAGCAGCGUGGAGGUAACUGACGACCUUGGCCAAGAAGUUGGGUGGCAGCGUGGAGGUCAUGCUCAGAGACACUUGUCAUUGCAGUCAGAGCCCAUCUGGAUAAUCCUGGAUAAAUCUCAUCUGGAGAUCCUUCACCAGAUCACGUCGGCAAUGACCUGUUCCCCAAAUAAGGCCCUGUGCACAGGUUCUGGGGUGCUAGGAGUGAGCCACCAUGCCUGGCCUAGUUUUUAAUGCUUGGACAUCUCCAAAAUCAGGACAUAUCUUGUAAUUGAAGACGUCUUACCAUAGCGGCCAGCCAUGCAGCCACUGGGCCUGUCUGUGCCUGAAUAAGACACUGGCCUGCCUUUGCCUGAACAAGACAGCCUUAGUCUCAAAGCUUGCAGAUGGGUGUGGGCCUGGUAGAAAAUUCUCAAGACAACGGCGGAGCAUGCUUGCCCCUAGGAGACCAAGUGGCCGGAAUGUUGAGAAUCAGCCUUUCGCAGAAAAAUCCCCUAAGCGAGAGGCAGCAGGCUGACUCCAUCAGCCCCAGGCAGGCUUCUGGGCCCUGCAGCUAUGGCUCUUCGUCCUUUUACAUGUUCUUUGAGAAUCAGCUGCACCCUGGAUGCUUCUGACAGCUCAGAGGACAUCAGCAUGAGGACAAGCACAGGGCUUGAUGGCUCGGAGGGAAAUGGAGUUGGAAUAUUUGGACUUAAUGUGCACACAUUUUAGAAAUAUCUUAACAAAUUUUAUUUUGCUGAUAUCUUUCUUUUUUGUGUGUGCCAAAGUGAUGGCCAGUACAAAUCCAUGUCUAAUUAAGUCCAGAAGAGCUCCUUCAAUAAGCGUAAAAUGAAAGUUAUGAGUGAUAAGAAAGCGUCAUGUCAGUUUAAUUGGCAGCAUUUUCUCUUUCUUAGUGGUUCAUAAAAUAAGGCAGUGCUUUGCUAUCGACGGUGUCUGAAAUUCUGUGAAUAUUCAAAGUUAAAUCUCAUGCUGAACAGCCACUGUGCGCAAGGCGGGUGA